GAAAAUUCAAGUUGUUGUUAGGGUGAAUUUUUUUUUCUAUGUGCUUCCACCCUUGCUUCUGGAUAUUCCAGUUCAUUGUAUUAAUCUUUCUGCUCUGCUUCUGAAUUUUAAUCAAGUUGAAUACUGAUAGAUAAUAAAAUUUUAAUUCAUAGUAGAAUAUAUUGGCGGUUUGAUGUAUUUAGUACCCUCAUGUUGGGAAACUAACUAGGAAUACAAGCUUUUGUAGACAAUACACAAUUUUCAUAAUCUUAAGCCAGGAUGAGAAAAUAGACAGUGUGCUCCCCAUUUUAUCCAUGUGUUCACCUCUCUGUAUUAAAUUAGUAUUGGCAGCUGAGUGGAAGAUCACAGCCUACAGCUGCUCUAACCUUCAGCAGCAAAUGACGCUCACUGAAUUGCCUCCCUGGGCCACUAAAGCCCAGGAAGCUUAAAAAUAUAGGUUUGAUGCUAAUGAUGAGAAAACUAAUUCAGAGAAUUAGCAAUGCUUAGAGCUUGAAGGAGAGUUAGAAGUAAACCAUUGUUGGUGGAAGUGAUGCAGUUUAUGACGUUCUGGAGGAACGUAGUAUAUAAGACAAAUCUGACAAUUGAAGAUGAAACUUGUAUAAUAAAGUAAAAUGCCAAGUGCCAAUUAGUGAGUAUCUGCUGAAUAUACAUAAUAUUAAUUAUAUAAUAUGUAAUUAUUAAAUAUAUAUAUGUGGCAUAUCGAAUCUCUCUGAUUUAGUGGGUACUAUAACAAUUAUAAACGUGCUAAAACUGCUUUCCAGAGAAGUUAACUACCAGACCCUGGACUACCUCAACUAGAGCUGAGACUCAAACUCCAAAGCUCAUCCCUGGUCCCUUCUGAUCUCAAGGUCCUGCCCACAGCCAACGUAAAUUGUUUUCCGUGAGAUCUGGCGCUGUCAGGAACAGAUGAUCUAAUGGUGUCCAUGUGUAAUCUAUAUAUGGGGAAACACAUUUGUUACUACUAUCCAUGAAGAUUUCAAACUACUUAAAGAUCGUUUUUCCUGUGUUUGUUUCUUAUAAAUACAUUCUAAAAGAAAUGACCAAUAAAAAUGGAACAAUUGCUUUGAAGGAACUUCCCUGUAAUGUUUUAGAAACCCUUUCUAAAAGGAAACUCCACUGUCCUGCAUAGAGGCAUCACCAGGUAAAACUUGAGAGAAAUCCCCACAGGUUUCUGGAGUAAUCCAUUCCAUCUGCUGAGCUGACGAGUCGCAUCUCUAACCUUAGUGUGAUCCACAUCCAGCACCCCCCCCCCAAAAAAGCCUUUCGUUUCAAGGAAAAUGGGAAAGAGAAGCGUUCCUGGUGAGGGAGCCUCAGCUAUGCAGAAAGUCUG
ensembl:lncRNA